rnacentral:tRNA from 1 species
GCCGAGGAAUACCAGGCGUGGCGUGCCUCUAUGGAGGGCAUCGACCGCUCCCGGUGGAGCGAGCAUCGGUUGUUGCCCGACCCCUCGGCUC